UUAUGUUUUUCUAGGAACCUGUCAACCAUAACGAUCUUUUAUUAGCUGCAAAUGGAGAAUGUGAAUAUUUAAACAAUUCAUCAAACGUUACACGGCAGAACCAGUACUAUCGUUCUCUAUCCCCUGACGAAAAAAAAAUAGUAACUCAUUACGAUGUUAGUGAAUAUUUAGCAUGUUUCAUAAAAAAACUGAAUUUGUUCACGCUUCAGGAUUACAAAGUUUAUAUGGAUGUAGUUCUUCAUUGUUUAGAGAUGAAUGGCUCAAAUUUAACGGUAACGGAUCCAGUGCAUCGCAGCAAUGUUUGUAUUCUGAAAGAUUUGAAUACCAUAAAAUCAGAUAACUCAAUAGACGCGGAUCUUCUCAAAAAAUACCUGGCAAUUUUCAUAACAGUGACGGAUGAACUUUUCGAUAUUAAUGAAGCAUUGAAAUACUUUAAUAACUGCGUUAACGAAAAGGGCAGCAGCGCUGAAGACACAAUCUCAAAAUUCUUGCAAUGCAUUGACCGAAACCGAAAUACCAUAGCGUAGAAACUGGUCGAUCUACAAGUUAUAAAUCUGAAAUAUUUACAAAAUUUUAAACAUCAUGAAUAAUAUUCACGGACUAUGUAAAAUUAUAAAUAAAUAAUCUCAACAA